rnacentral:rRNA from 1 species
GACGAACGCUGGCGGCGUGCUUAACACAUGCAAGUCGAACGGAAAGGCCCUGCUUUUGUGGGGUGCUCGAGUGGCGAACGGGUGAGUAACACGUGAGUAACCUGCCCUUGACUUUGGGAUAACUUCAGGAAACUGGGGCUAAUACCGGAUAGGAGCUCCUGCUGCAUGGUGGGGGUUGGAAAGUUUCGGCGGUUGGGGAUGGACUCGCGGCUUAUCAGCUUGUUGGUGGGGUAGUGGCUUACCAAGGCUUUGACGGGUAGUCGGCCUGAGAGGGUGACCGGCCACAUUGGGACUGAGAUACGGCCCAGACUCCUACGGGAGGCAGCAGUGGGAAAUAUUGCACAGUGGGCGGAAGCCUGAUGCAGCAACGCCGCGUGCGGGAUGACGGCCUUCGGGUUGUAAACCGCUUUCGCCUGUGACGAAGCGUGAGUGACGGUAAUGGGUAAAGAAGCACCGGCUAACUACGUG